rnacentral:rRNA from 1 species
GACGAACGCUGGCGGCGUGCUUAACACAUGCAAGUCGAACGGAAAGGCCCUGCUUUUGUGGGGUGCUCGAGUGGCGAACGGGUGAGUAACACGUGAGUAACCUGCCCUUGACUUUGGGAUAACUUCAGGAAACUGGGGCUAAUACCGGAUAGGAGCUCCUGCUGCAUGGUGGGGGUUGGAAAGUUUCGGCGGUUGGGGAUGGACCCGCGGCUUAUCAGCUUGUUGGUGGGGUAGUGGCUUACCAAGGCUUUGACGGGUAGCCGGCCUGAGAGGGUGACCGGCCACAUUGGGACUGAGAUACGGCCCAGACUCCUACGGGAGGCAGCAGUGGGGAAUAUUGCACAAUGGGCGGAAGCCUGAUGCAGCAACGCCGCGUGCGGGAUGACGGCCUUCGGGUUGUAAACCGCUUUCGCCUGUGACGAAGCGUGAGCGACGGUAAUGGGUAAAGAAGCACCAGCUAACUACG